rnacentral:rRNA from 1 species
GACGAACGCUGGCGGCGUGCUUAACACAUGCAAGUCGAACGGAAAGGCCCUGCUUUUGUGGGGUGCUCGAGUGGCGAACGGGAGAGUAACACGAGAGUAACCUGCCCUUGACUUUGGGAUAACUUCAGGAAACUGGGGCUAAUACCGGAUAGGAGCUCCUGCUGCAUGGUGGGGGUUGGAAAGUUUCGGCGGUUGGGGAUGGACUCGCGGCUUAUCAGCUUGUUGGUGGGGUGGUGGCUUACCAAGGCUUUGACGGGUAGCCGGCCUGAGAGGGUGACCGGCCACAUUGGGACUGAGAUACGGCCCAGACUCCUACGGGAGGCAGCAGUGGGGAAUAUUGCACAAUGGGCGGAAGCCUGAUGCAGCAACGCCGCGUGCGGGAUGACGGCCUUCGGGUUGUAAACCGCUUUCGCCUGUGACGAAGCGUGAGUGACGGUAAUGGGUAAAGAAGCACCGGCUAACUACGUG